ensembl:lncRNA
AAUAGUUUCACUUUUGUUACAAAAUCCUGCUGGGAAGACCUUAAACUCUCCUUAGAACAUUUACAUUCACUGUAUCUUAUAUAUAUUAUUAUUAUUUUAAUUUUAUUUUUUUCUCCCAUAUGAAAAUGCCAUUGCAGGGGGAGGGUGGACAAAUGUUUUUUUUUGUCCUAUUGUUUAAUGUGAUUGGACUUUGAACUUGAUAUAUUGUCUGUGUGCAACAUUUCAUGAUUGAUAUAAAGAUGUUUGUCCAGAACAGUUUAACUUUUGUUCAAUAAAUCCUGCUGGAAAGACCUUAAACUCUCCUUAGAACAGAAAGGACUGUGAGGGAAAAUUUUAAAUUGCUAUCCACGUGAAUUCUACAGUGCAAUUGUGGUCCUGUACAGCAAGACAAUAUGUGAGUUUUCUUAAUUACAUUGCUUACAUGUGACUGUUAUUUGAAAAAGGAAAACUUUUAGUGUUUCAGUGUUUCUAGCAUGCUAUUGUUUUCUUAAUUACAGCAACAGUGGCAUCAUUUAUUAACCCUCACCAGCAAAACCGCAUCGAGGAACCACCCAGAAUGGCAUCUGCUUUUAAUCAUCUUGAAAAGGAACUGAUUAAACUCUUCGACAGUGAUUACCCUCAGCUCCAGCAGUGCAUAAAGAAUCUGCAAUGUAUCCUCAGAACAUUUAAUGAGAAUAAGAGAACUGCUGAAAAAGGUUCUAAAGAUGGAAAAAUAGCUGGAGCAGCUGGAGGUACUGCACUGGCUGUGGGACUAGUUUUGGCUCCAUUUACACUGGGGAUUUCUGCUCUUAUCGGUGGAGCAGGAGCAGCGGUGGCAACAGGUGGUGCGAUUGGGAGUGGAGUAUGGAAUAAGAAGAUAGCGGACCAGGAGGCACAGUUCAAAAAAGACGCUGAAGCUGAAUUGAGAGCAUUUCAAGAUAAAAUCAUCCCUAUGGCUGAAAAGAUCAAAUGUAUUAAUCAGUGUAUUGAGGAAAUAUCCAGAGACCUUAAUAACCCUGAAAACAACGUCAGUUACUUAAGUAAAUAUUCUAGCUCUGAGUUAGUGCACUUCAUAAAGAUGUAUGAUUCUGGUGGAUUGGCUGUACAGAUUUCCAAAAGUGUGCAUUUUACUAAAGAAAUCACAGACAUUUUGUCUAGGGUUACUACGGAUAUCGUUCAAAAGAUCACUGAUUUACAGCCUCACAUCAGUCUGUUAGAGGACAUGAUGAGAGAAAUUAAGAAAACAACAGACAAAAUGGCAAAACAUUAGGUUUCAAAUCAGUGAAUACAUCUUUCAUGUAAAAAAAAAAAAUUGAUUAAACACAUCGUAAAAACAGUAAUAUUGUGAAUUUAACUACAGGCAUAAUUCUAUGUGAUUGCAUUGUAAAAUGUAAUUUAUCUCUGUAAACUGAAUUUUCAGCAUUAUUACUCAUUAAUUUCACAUGAUCUUCAGAAAUCAUAAUAUACUGUUUUGCUUCUCAAGAAACAUUUCUGAUUAUUACCAAUGUUGUGCUGCCCAAUAUAUUGUGGAAAGAUUAAAUUCAUCAGUAGUUUUUUUAAUAGAACUUGCAAAAGAGCAGUAUUUUAGAUUUUUUUUAAAUCAAUUUAAAAAUCUUUAUUGUAACUUAUCAAAUUAAUAUUUUCUGUAUAAACAUAAUUUUUCAAGACAAUAAAUCUUUAAAAUAUUGAAAAUGAAAACAGUGACCAAUUAUAACCACAUUAGAACAACCAAAAAUGUAAAUUCUGUCAUUAAUUACUCGCCCUCAUGUUGCUCCAAACCCAUAAGACCCUUUUGUGCAGAAAACAAAUAAAGAUUUUUUUUAACAGAUGCCUUGUGUACGCAAAUAACAACAACAAAAAAAUUAUUCAGAAAUGAUUAGAUUAGAUUCAACUUUGUCACUGCACAUGUAAGGUACAAGGCAAUGAAAUGCAGUUAGCAUCUAACCAGAAGUGCAAAUUACAGUAAGUAUAGAAUUUACAAGGUCUACAAUAUGUACAAUAACUAUACAGAUAUAGAUAUAUACAGAGAUAAGUAUUAUGGACGUAAUUUACAGAUUUUAAAUACUAUCAGCAUGAUAUACAGAUAGGUGUACUAUGAACACUAUACAGAUGGAUUAUGUAAAAGUGUAUGUAUCUAUAUAUAGGCAGAACUACAAACAAAUGAACAUAAUUUACACUAUUGAAAUGGACAGUAAAGUGAAGUAAGAAAUAUUACAGUGUGCAAAUGGAUUACUCAGUGUUUCUUGAUGAACAGACAGCAGUGCAAGCAAUAACAAGUUUACGUUUUUUUAGCUUGUAAAUAAAUCAGUCAGAUGUAGUGAUGAGGAGGGGGAGGAGUCUGUGUGUAUGGUGUGUGUGUGUGUGGGGGGGGGGGGGGGGGGGGGGGUUCAGAGUUCAGCGAGCAGACAGCUGUAGGGAAAAAGCUGUUCCUGAGUCUUUUGGUCCUUGUCCUGAGGCUCUUGAAGCACCUCCCAGAGGGCAGGAGGUUAAACUGUCUAUGAUCAGGGUGAGAGGAGUCCUUGAGAAUGCUGUGAGCUCGACGUAGACUGUGUUUCCUCUGGAUGUCCUCAAUAGCAGGAAGUGAUGUCCCAGUUUUUGAGCUCCUUUGUCUUGGUGGUGUUAAGGAGCAGAUUAUUGUCAGCGCAACAUGUGGCCAGGUGUCUCAUCAUUGUCACUGAUGGGGCCAGUCACUGUGGUGUCAUCUGCAAACUUGGAGUUGGAUCCAAACACAGGCUUACAGUCGUGGGUGUAAAGGGAGUAAAGGAAUGGGCUCAGCACACAGCCCUGUGGUACGCCGGUGUUGAGUGUGAUGGUGGUGGAGUGCGUGUGGCCUGACCGAACAUGCUGAAGCUUGUUGGUCUGAAAGUCCAUAAUCCAGUUGCAGAGGGAGGUGUUAAUGUCCAGGUCUCCAAGUUUUGUGGUCAGCUUGGAGGGAAUGAGUCAACAAACAAUAUCCAUGCAUAUGUGUUGUUAUUGUCCAAGUGUGUGAGUGCAGAGUGCAGCACUGUGCAUACUGCAUCCUCUGUGCUCCUAUUUCUGCUUUAGGCAAAUUGGUGUGGGUCCAGUGUGGGUGGGAGGCAGUCAUUGAGGUGUGCCAGGACCAGUCGCUCGAAGCACUUCAUGAUGAUGGGUGUGAGUGCUACGCGGUGGUAGUCAUUUAAGCACAUUGGGGAGGAGUGUUAAAGUACUCGCACAAUGGAUGUGGACUUAAAACAUGUUGGCACAGUUGCUUGGUUGAGGGACAGGUUGAAAAUGUCUGAAGACCCCUGCAAGCUGCUCUGCACAUGCCCUGAGCACACAUCCACAGCCAAAAUAUAUCUGUAUGACACAUGGAUCGCUUUUAUUUCAUUGUUCCGGUUUUAUUCAAAAUGUUCCCAAAACAUGCUCACUAUAUAAUGAAAUACCUGAUAUUCCAAUUGUGAAAUAUCUUGGUUGCUGUAAGGUCCAGCCACUCGGCCCAAGGAAGUUAUCUGGUGCUGGUUGAAGGUUUCCUGCCUGUUCUAUCUUUCAGCAGGUAGAGUUAUUCAAUUUAGGUUCAACUCAAAUCUGACUCCAUUUUAUUAUCUAAUCUGACUCCAUUGUAUUAUUUAAUCUGACCUCGAAUUUAGGUUGGAAUGCAAAUUGGUUGUAUCCAAGUAUCUAGGUAUUAUUAUUCUGGCAUUUUAUUAUUCUAGUUAAACACCUUCUUUUAUAUUAACUCUUUCAUUCAGGUGCUCAUGUUUCCAUCUUGAUGUAUCCCCAACACAUUUUCACAAAUGCACCGUGAGAUCUGGCGAGCUCACACCAACGCAACACUGAUUCUUCAUGUUGCUCUCGUGAUAAAUAAAAAAUUUCUCAGAUUUCAUUAAAAAGUUCUACAUUUAUGCUCCAAUGCUUCUGGUUCUUCAGCUUCUUCCACCAUCCCAAUUCUGGAUUAAUGAGCCACAGCAGAUGUUUACACUUUGAAUGCUUUAGCCUCGCUGUUUUUCUGAAGCAUCCAAAGUGAAAAAGAAAACAAUAACUUAAAUGUAAAUGUAAAAAAAUAUAUAUAAUACAAAAACAAUGGUUGUCCAAAAUGUAAAGUAUACACUUGAGUUGUUUCUACUGUUAGGGCAUUUCCACCUCAGGGCAAAAAAGAGUGGGAGCUGACUUAUAGGAUGAGAACAAUUUUCUAGAAUUUUCAGUAUUUUGUCACUUCCUAUUCAGGGCCCCAGAGUGCAAACUAAUGGUCACAUUUUGCGACUUUGUUGACUAAAUUUUGUGACACUGGUGCGACCACUAUGUUGCCCCACUUCAUAAGCGCUGCUAUUUCUGUUGCAUAUGAGAAACUUCAAACAUCAAGCAAAAUAAAACCUAGUGAAAAUCAUUUGAGCUGCGCAGGAUGGACCGUUUAACAGCUCGGAUCAGCUCAGCGAAAACAAACUUCUCCAAGCUCACAGCAGGUUUACUCGGGAAGCAGUGUUGAUUUCGUGAAACUGAUACUGUCCAGUGCUGGUUAAGGUUGCCAUGAGCCCUAGUGAGAAGCAUUCAAAUAUUGCACAGAAAUCUGUUAUAAACAGGCCAAACAGCAGAGAUAUAUAGCCAGAAGUAGUAACGCUAACUAUAACCAUGCUGGUGUGGUAGAAAUUGUUGAAUUUCAUUACAUUAUGCAUUUCGGGGUUUAUACAACCUUUUGAGAGCGAAAUUCAAGCAAUUUUAAGUAUCUCACACAACCAUUCACAGCACUUUAAAAACUAUAAAGAGGAUACAAUUUAAAC